rnacentral:rRNA from 2 species
AAAUUGAAGAGUUUGAUCAUGGCUCAGAUUGAACGCUGGCGGCAGGCCUAACACAUGCAAGUCGAACGGUAGCACAGAGAGCUUGCUCUCGGGUGACGAGUGGCGGACGGGUGAGUAAUGUCUGGGAAACUGCCUGAUGGAGGGGGAUAACUACUGGAAACGGUAGCUAAUACCGCAUAACGUCGCAAGACCAAAGAGGGGGACCUUCGGGCCUCUUGCCAUCAGAUGUGCCCAGAUGGGAUUAGCUAGUAGGUGGGGUAACGGCUCACCUAGGCGACGAUCCCUAGCUGGUCUGAGAGGAUGACCAGCCACACUGGAACUGAGACACGGUCCAGACUCCUACGGGAGGCAGCAGUGGGGAAUAUUGCACAAUGGGCGCAAGCCUGAUGCAGCCAUGCCGCGUGUAUGAAGAAGGCCUUCGGGUUGUAAAGUACUUUCAGCGGGGAGGAAGGUGUUGUGGUUAAUAACCACAGCAAUUGACGUUACCCGCAGAAGAAGCACCGGCUAACUCCGUGCCAGCAGCCGCGGUAAUACGGAGGGUGCAAGCGUUAAUCGGAAUUACUGGGCGUAAAGCGCACGCAGGCGGUCUGUCAAGUCGGAUGUGAAAUCCCCGGGCUCAACCUGGGAACUGCAUUCGAAACUGGCAGGCUAGAGUCUUGUAGAGGGGGGUAGAAUUCCAGGUGUAGCGGUGAAAUGCGUAGAGAUCUGGAGGAAUACCGGUGGCGAAGGCGGCCCCCUGGACAAAGACUGACGCUCAGGUGCGAAAGCGUGGGGAGCAAACAGGAUUAGAUACCCUGGUAGUCCACGCCGUAAACGAUGUCGAUUUGGAGGUUGUGCCCUUGAGGCGUGGCUUCCGGAGCUAACGCGUUAAAUCGACCGCCUGGGGAGUACGGCCGCAAGGUUAAAACUCAAAUGAAUUGACGGGGGCCCGCACAAGCGGUGGAGCAUGUGGUUUAAUUCGAUGCAACGCGAAGAACCUUACCUGGUCUUGACAUCCACAGAACUUUCCAGAGAUGGAUUGGUGCCUUCGGGAACUGUGAGACAGGUGCUGCAUGGCUGUCGUCAGCUCGUGUUGUGAAAUGUUGGGUUAAGUCCCGCAACGAGCGCAACCCUUAUCCUUUGUUGCCAGCGGUUAGGCCGGGAACUCAAAGGAGACUGCCAGUGAUAAACUGGAGGAAGGUGGGGAUGACGUCAAGUCAUCAUGGCCCUUACGACCAGGGCUACACACGUGCUACAAUGGCGCAUACAAAGAGAAGCGACCUCGCGAGAGCAAGCGGACCUCAUAAAGUGCGUCGUAGUCCGGAUUGGAGUCUGCAACUCGACUCCAUGAAGUCGGAAUCGCUAGUAAUCGUAGAUCAGAAUGCUACGGUGAAUACGUUCCCGGGCCUUGUACACACCGCCCGUCACACCAUGGGAGUGGGUUGCAAAAGAAGUAGGUAGCUUAACCUUCGGGAGGGCGCUUACCACUUUGUGAUUCAUGACUGGGGUGAAGUCGUAACAAGGUAACCGUAGGGGAACCUGCGGUUGGAUCACCUCCUUACCUUAAAGAA